AGCAAUACUUAGUGGCAGACGGGUGAGUAACAUGUGGGUAUCUUCCCUUUGGUGAGGAAUAACACGAGGAAACUUGUGCUAAUACCUCAUAAGUCUUUACGGAGAAAGCUUUAUGCGCCAAUGGAUGAGCCCGCACUUGAUUAGUUUGUUGGUGGGGUAAUGGCCUACCAAGACUUUGAUCAAUAGCUGAUCUGAGAGGAUGAUCAGCCACAUUGGGACUGAGACACGGCCCAAACUCCUACGGGAGGCAGCAGUAGGGAAUAUUGCACAAUGGAGGAAACUCUGAUGCAGCGAUGCCGCGUGAGUGAAGAAGGCCCUUGGGUUGUAAAGCUCUUUCGUCGGGGAAGAAAAUGACUGUACCCGAAUAAGAAGGUCCGGCUAACUUCGUGCCAGCAGCCGCGGUAAUACGAAGGGACCUAGCGUAGUUCGGAAUUACUGGGCUUAAAGAGUUCGUAGGUGGUUAAAAAAGUUGGUGGUGAAAUCCCAGAGCUUAACUCUGGAACUGCCAUCAAAACUUUUUAGCUAGAGUAUGAUAGAGGAAAGCAGAAUUUCUAGUGUAGAGGUGAAAUUCGUAGAUAUUAGAAAGAAUACCAAUUGCG
rnacentral:rRNA from 1 species